rnacentral:tRNA from 3 species
GGGCCUAUAGCUCAAUUGGCAGAGCAGCGGACUUUUAAUCCGCGGGUUCAGGGUUCGAUCCCCUGUGGGCCCA